rnacentral:rRNA from 1 species
GACGAACCGUCCUAACGUUGUUCGGAAUCACUGGGCUUAAAGGGCGCGUAGGCGGGUCACCAAGUCCGGGGUGAAAUCUUUCGGCUUAACCGGAAAAUAGCCUUGGAUACUGGCGAUCUCGAGGGAGGUAGGGGCCUGUGGAACUUCUGGUGGAGCGGUGAAAUGCGUUGAUAUCAGAAGGAACGCCGGUGGCGAAAGCGACGGGCUGGACCUUUACUGACGCUGAGGCGCGAAAGCUAGGGGAGCAAACGGG